rnacentral:rRNA from 1 species
GAUGAACGCUGGCGGCGUGCCUAAUACAUGCAAGUAGAACGCUGAAGCUUGGUGCUUGCACCGAGCGGAUGAGUUGCGAACGGGUGAGUAACGCGUAGGUAACCUGCCUCUUAGCGGGGGAUAACUAUUGGAAACGAUAGCUAAUACCGCAUAAAAGUCGAUAUCGCAUGAUAUUGAUUUGAAAGGUGCAAAUGCAUCACUAAGAGAUGGACCUGCGUUGUAUUAGCUAGUUGGUGAGGUAACGGCUCACCAAGGCGACGAUACAUAGCCGACCUGAGAGGGUGAUCGGCCACACUGGGACUGAGACACGGCCCAGACUCCUACGGGAGGCAGCAGUAGGGAAUCUUCGGCAAUGGGGGCAACCCUGACCGAGCAACGCCGCGUGACUGAAGAAGGUUUUCGGAUCGUAAAGCUCUGUUGUAAGAGAAGAACGAGUGUGAGAGUGGAAAGUUCACACUGUGACGGUAACUUACCAGAAAGGGACGGCUAACUACGUG